CACGGGGAGGUAGUGACGAAAAAUAACGAUACGGGACUCAUCCGAGGCCCCGUAAUCGGAAUGAGUAUACUCUAAAUCCUUAUACGAGUAUCAAUUGGAGGGCAAGUCUGGUGCCAGCAGCCGCGGUAAUUCCAGCUCCAAUAGCGUAUAUUAAAGUUGUUGCGGUUAAAAAGCUCGUAGUUGGAUCUGUGUCCCGCGCCGUCGGUUCACCGCCUGUCGGUGUUCAACUGGCGUGUAUGCGGGACGUCCUGCCGGUGGCGGUCCGGUUCCCCGACGGUACGUAGGGGUCGUCCUUGCUUUGCUUGCGUCGUCCCCGAAGGCCGGCGUGGUGUUUCCGGCCGCCUUUUCGAUCCCGUCGCGGUGCUCUUCACCGAGUGUCGAGGCGGGCCGGCACGUUUACUUUGAACAAAUUAGAGUGCUUUAAGCAGGCCCUGUCCCGCCUGUAUGUUGUGUGCAUGGAAUAAUGGAAUAGGACCUCGGUUCUAUUUUGUUGGUUUUCGGAAUCUGAGGUAAUGAUCAAUGGGGACAGGCGGGGGCAUUCGUAUUGCGACGUUAGAGGUGAAAUUCUUGGAUCGUCGCAAGACGGACCGAAGCGAAAGCAUUUGCCAAGUAUGUUCUCGUCGAUCAAGAACGAAAGUUAGAGGUUCGAAGGCGAUCAGAUACCGCCCUAGUUCUAACCAUAAACUAUGCCUGCCAGCGAUCCGCCGAAGUUCCUCCGAUGACUCGGCGGGCAGCUUCCGGGAAACCAGAGCUUUUGGGUUCCGGGGGAAGUAUGGUUGCAAAGCUGAAACUUAAAGGAAUUGACGGAAGGGCACCACCAGGAGUGGAGCCUGCGGCUUAAUUUGACUCAACACGGGAAAACUCACCAGGCCCGGACACCGGAAGGAUUGACAGAUUGAGAGCUCUUUCUUGAUUCGGUGGGUGGUGGUGCAUGGCCGUUCUUAGUUGGUGGAGCGAUUUGUCUGGUUAAUUCCGAUAACGAACGAGACUCUAGCCUACUAACUAGGCGUACCCGGUAUCCACAAUCGUGCUACCGGCGAUCAAAUUUCUUCUUAGAGGGACAGGCGGCUUCUAGCCGCACGAGACUGAGCAAUAACAGGUCUGUGAUGCCCUUAGAUGUCCUGGGCCGCACGCGCGCUACACUGAAGGAAUCAGCGUGUCUUCCCUGUCCGAAAGGACCGGGUAACCCGCUGAACCUCCUUUGUGCUAGGGAUUGGGGCUUGCAAUUGUUCCCCAUGAACGAGGAAUUCCCAGUAAGCGCGAGUCAUAAGCUCGCGUUGAUUACGUCCCUGCCCUUUGUACACACCGCCCGUCGCUACUACCGAUUGAAUGAUUUAGUGAGGUCUUCGGACCGGUGCGCGGAGGCCGCUCCCGCGGUCUCCGAUGUUGCUGGAAAGAUGACCAAACUUGAUCAUUUA
rnacentral:rRNA from 1 species